rnacentral:rRNA from 1 species
ACAUACACCAGAUCGGCGCAGAGAUGCGUUUCCCUUGUGGUUGGUGGUACAGGUGGUGCAUGGUUGUCGUCAGCUCGUGUCGUGAGAUGUUGGGUUAAGUCCCGCAACGAGCGCAACCCUUGUCUUAUGUUGCCAGCACGUGAUGGUGGGGACGUCAUGAGAGACUGCCGGGGUUAACUCGGAGGAAGGUGGGGAUGACGUCAAAUCAUCAUGCCCCUUAUGUCCAGGGCUUCACACAUGCUACAAUGGUCGGUACAACGCGUGUGCGACACUGUGAGGUGAAGCUAAUCGCUCUAAAGCCGGUCGUAGUUCGGAUUGGGGUCCGCAACUCGACCCCAUGAAGUCGGAGUCGCUAGUAAUCGCAGAUCAGCAACGCUGCGGUGAAUACGUUCCCGGGCCUU